GGCCUCCUGGCGCUCACCACAAGCUGUGUUCUUGCACUGACUAUAUAGAAAGAAAAGGCAGAGCAAACCCACGCGCAUGUACACCUCAGCCCAGGCCACUGUGCCUGGUCUGUAUUGUGAAUGGGAAGAUGG
ensembl:snoRNA